UACCAGACUCCUACGGGAGGCAGCAGUGGGGGAUAUUGCACAAUGGGGGGAACCCUGAUGCAGCGACGCCGCGUGGGUGAAGGAGCACCUCGGUGCGUAAAGCCCUAUCGGCAGGGAAGAAACAGACGGUACCUGACUAAGAAGCCCCGGCUAACUACGUGCCAGCAGCCGCGGUAAUACGUAGGGGGCAAGCGUUAUCCGGAUUCACUGGGUGUAAAGGGAGCGUAGGCCGGCUUUUAAGUCAGCUGUGAAAGUCCGCGGCUCAACCGUGGAAUUGCAGUUGAAACUGGAGGCCUUGAGUGCACACAGGGAUGCCGGAAUUCAUGGUGUAGCGGUGAAAUGCUUAGAUAUCAUGAAGAACUCCGAUCGCGAAGGCAAGUGUCCGGGGUGCAACUGACGCUGAGGCUCGAAAGUGCGGGUAUCAAACAGGAUUAGAUACCCGCGUAC
rnacentral:rRNA from 1 species